rnacentral:rRNA from 1 species
CAGCCGCCACGGGAAUACGAAGGGUGCAAGCGUUACUCGGAACUACUGGGCGUAAAGCGUGCGUAGGUGGUGGUUUAAGUCCGUUGUGAAAGCCCUGGGCUCAACCUGGGAAUUGCAGUGGAUACUGGGUCACUAGAGUGUGGUAGAGGAUAGUGGAAUUUCCGGUGUAGCAGUGAAAUGCGUAGAGAUCGGAAGGAACAUCUGUGGCGAAGGCGACUAUCUGGGCCAACACUGACACUGAUGCACGAAAGCGUGGGGAGCAAACAGGAUUAGAGACCCCGGUAGUCCCUGUCUCUUAUAC